ACUUUAAGAAGUUGUUAGAGGAAGAAAGGGCAGGAAAGCUUGGAUACAAGGCAUCAAAGACCAAGAAGGAGACAUUGAGUAGUGUCCUUGAGGACUCUCUGGACCGUCUGGAAAACUGGGAGGUCUAUGAGGGCCUCUGCUGUGGAGAGGGUAUCAAACUCGCACCACAGAAGCAGCAGAGGCUUUUCUGUAGGUACUACCAUGGCAAGAGGGCUCCACAGCUUCUCAUCACUCACUUGGAAGAGGAUGAUGAGUGGGACAUCAUCAGGUAUUAUAAUGUCAUGUCUGAGGAGGAAAUCAAAAGGAUGAAGGAGAUUGUGAAGCCCAAA
rnacentral:lncRNA from 1 species